rnacentral:rRNA from 1 species
CACCGCGGUUAUACGAGAGGCCCAAGUUGAUAGAUUCCGGCGUAAAGAGUGGUUAAGACAAGUUUUUGAACUAAAGCCGAAUGCCCUCAGGGCUGUUAUACGCUCCCGAAGGUAAGAAGACCAAUCACGAAAGUGGCUUUAUAUAAGCUGAACCCACGAAAGCUAUGACA